rnacentral:rRNA from 1 species
UACGGAGGGUGCAAGCAUUAAUCGGAUUUAUUGGGCGUAAAGGGCGCGUAGGUGGUAAGGAAAGUCAGAUGUGAAAUCCCGGGGCUCAACCUCGGAACUGCAUUUGAAACUUCCUUUCUAGAGGAUAGGCGGAGAAAACGGAAUUCCACAAGUAGCGGUGAAAUGCGUAGAUAUGUGGAAGAACACCGGUGGCGAAGGCGGUUUUCUAGCUUAGACCUGACACUGAUGCGCGAAAGCAAGGGGAUCAAACAGG